rnacentral:rRNA from 1 species
CACGUAGGGCGCAAGCGUUGUCCGGAAUUAUUGGGCGUAAAGAGCUCGUAGGCGGUCUGUUACGUCUGCUGUGAAAACCCUGGGCUUAACCCUGGGCUUGCAGUGGAUACGGGCAGACUAGAGGCAGGUAGGGGAGAAUGGAAUUCCCGGUGUAGCGGUGAAAUGCGCAGAUAUCGGGAGGAACACCGGUGGCGAAGGCGGUUCUCUGGGCCUGACCUGACGCUGAGGAGCGAAAGCGUGGGGAGCAAACAGG